UGGAUUCACUGCACUCCAGCUUGGGCGAGAGAGAGAGACUCCAUCUCAAAACAAACAAACAAAAAAAUUAGUUUCAACAUGACUAAUUACCUCUGCAAAAGGUUAUAUUCACAGAUGUGUAAGAGGCUAGAUUCUGAUCUAUGGAGUGUAACAAUUGGUCACUUUUUAAUCAACUGAAAUUAAUUUGGUAGAAUGGAAAUGAAAUUCCACCACUAGUUUCCUUGCGAGGCUGACAGGUCAAGCUGGGGUCCAUAAGUCCCUGAAAUUGCAUGCAAAAUUUGGUGUCUGUUUCUUGGUAGAAUUUUUAAAGAGAUCCAUGACUCAAAGACCCACCAUCUAAAUGGCCUUCCUGUGGAGAUACUUGAGCACCUUAAGAGAGAAAUACAUGUUACACAAGCCAAGAAUAUCAAAUCUGCUUUGCUUCUCUAAGACAAUAUCAGAAAAAAAUGAAAUACCUUUUCUCUUCUUUUUAGAGUCAACAACAAUGGUUCCAUGAACUGAUGGAGAAAGCAAAUGCCUCUUAUUAGAGGCAACAACGAUAGUUCCAUGAACUGAUGGAGAAAAUGAAUUGAAUGACUCUGGGACCACAUUUUCCAGUGGCAUAGUCAUCAGAGGAAGGAGAGCCUACCCAGUGUGAUGUGAAUAAACAGAUGAGGUUCUACCUGGUUACUGCUUCAUGGUCCAGUUUCCUAAUGCAGGUUACGGAUUAUGCAAGUUUACAACAUCAUCUAACUUGGCACCAAUCUGGGUGAAUCCAGAGCAGUGGCCAAUUUGUGAUGAGCCACAUCCAGAAUGAAGUGGGGGAGCUCACAGCUGGACAUCUUAGCAAAUACCAAAUCCAGGUAUGUCAGUUGGGACAACUGGGGGAGGAGGUGUGGUGGGCUGUGCAGCCGGGGGAACCUUCACCAAAAUGACUAGAGAAAUGAGAAGAACAAUUAUAACUGACAGAUAGGAACAGCCUGCUCAGAUACGCUAAAAAUGAGUCAGGCCUUCAGGAUGACAACUUUGACAAGGAUUUUGGAGAUGAUAACAAAUGGAAAGAUUUAUGUAUCCAGUUCAACACAACUGUUCAUUAGAGUCCCCGAGGGUCUGAUGCAUUUAGCAAAUGACUAUUUUAUAUGCUUUUUAAAUUUUCAGAUGCUUCCAUAAAUUCAUAGUCUUGAAAGGAAGACAUUUCUUCAGAACUCUGUAAAUCUUAUGAGUCCUAAGGGAGUUGGUGGAGGUGGGAAUAGUUUGUAUUUGCUAAGCAUGACAAUAGUGUGGCAAAGAUUUUAAGACUGCUCCAGCUGCAAACAAACUUUGCCAAUUUCUUCCUUCAGAAUAAUGAAAAUAAUUUUUUUUUUUUGAGAUGGGCUCUUGUUCUGUCACCCAAACUGGAAUACAGUGGCACCA